rnacentral:misc_RNA from 1 species
UGAUUAGUUGCAUUAUUAAAUUACAUUCUUAUAAACAAUGAAUGCUAUAUAAAUUAUCAAUUGGACGAUAUGUAUGGAUUUUGGCAAAGUAGCGUUAUCGGGUCUGCAAGGACUAAACGGAUAACACAUAAGGAAAAAUACCAUGGCUAAUAAACAAGGAUUUCAUAACAAAAAUUUACCAGAUAUGCGAAAUGCUUUCAGUUGGGGAUUUUAGUUAUCACACUAGUCCAAAUCAUUUAAAUUA